rnacentral:misc_RNA from 1 species
AAGUCGUAACAAGGUUUCCGUAGGUGAACCUGCGGAAGGAUCAUUAUCGAGUUUUUGAACAGGUUGUAGCUGGUCUUCCACGAGACAUGUGCACGCCUGGCUCAUUCCACUCAUUAACCUUUGUGCACCUCAUGUAAGAAACGGUUGAAGGGUCAGCUCAGCUUUGCUUAGUUGAUCAAGAAGCCUUUCUUAUGUUUUAUUACAAACGUUUCAGUUAUAGAAUGUUUACUGUGUAUAACACAUUUAUAUACAACUUUCAGCAACGGAUCUCUUGGCUCUC